rnacentral:rRNA from 1 species
GGCGGCAGGCCUAACACAUGCAAGUCGAGCGCUCGUAGCAAUACGAGAGCGGCAGACGGGAGAGUAACACGUGGGAACGUGCCCUUCGGUUCGGAAUAACUCAGGGAAACUUGAGCUAAUACCGGAUACGCCCUUACGGGGAAAGAUUUAUUGCCGAGGGAGCGGCCCGCGCCCGAUUAGCUAGUUGGCGAGGUAAUGGCUCACCAAGGCUUCGAUCGGUAACCGGCCUGAGAGGGCGAUCGGUCACACCGGAACUGAGACACGGUCCGGACUCCUACGGGAGGCAGCAGUGGGGAAUCUUGCGCAAUGGGCGAAAGCCUGACGCAGCAACGCCGCGUGGAGGAUGAAGGCCCUUGGGUUGUAAACUCCUGUCGGUUGGGAAGAAAUCUUACGGGGCUAAUACCUCCGUAAGUUGACUGUACCAGCAAAGGAAGCCCCGGCUAACUCUGUGCCAGCAGCCGCGGUAAUACAGAGGGGGCCAGCGUU